rnacentral:lncRNA from 1 species
GGUGAAACACAUACAAAUAUAACUCUUCUGCCAGACAAUGAUGUGAGACGUUUGCUGAAGCCAGAAAACACACAAGUCUUUCAAAGAAUAUACUCGGUGCAUCUGUGACAUUAUCGAUCAACUUGUGGUUCUUUCUGUUGCCCCUCACGCACUUACAACAAGAUGCUGUCUAUCCUAGUUCAUUACUGGCAUGAACAAGUACCUGGAAGCUCAAAGUCGUA